rnacentral:lncRNA from 1 species
GUUGCUGCAGAAUAGCAAGCCUAUCACUCACAAUGGCCAGAAAUCAGAACAAAUGAUCAUUACAAACAACCCAUGUAGACAGUUUUCUAUCGUAAGGCAGUGAUUUUUGAGUCCAUAGAUGGGCCAGUAGGAAGUCUACACUGAAAUCAGCAUUGUGCCUGAUACUGAGAGGAAUAAAGUUGAUAGGAAGGAGCAAUCAGAAAGCUUUGGCUGAAAAGAAUGAUUUAAACCACUGGAGAAAAC